rnacentral:rRNA from 1 species
UACGGAGGGUGCAAGCGUUAUCCGGAAUUACUGGGCGUAAAGGGUGCGUAGGCGGCUCCUUAAGUGAGGUGUGAAAUCCCUGGGCUCAACCCAGGAACUGCACUUCAAACUGGGGAGCUAGAGUGCAGGAGAGGAAAGCGGAAUUCCCGGUGUAGCGGUGAAAUGCGUAGAGAUCGGGAGGAACACCAGUGGCGAAGGCGGCUUUCUGGACUGUAACUGACGCUGAGGCACGAAAGCGUGGGGAGCAAACAGG